CCGUAGCUCAGUGGUUAGAGCAGGGGACUCAUAAUCCCUUGGUCGGAGGUUCGAAUCCUUCCGGG
rnacentral:tRNA from 1 species